GGGAAACAGGAAGAGGGGCCAGCCUCAGGCACGGAGGCCCCACAACAAACUGGGGCA
rfam:Chlorocebus sabaeus isolate 1994-021 chromosome 13, whole genome shotgun sequence.